AACGAACGCUGGCGGCAUGCCUAACACAUGCAAGUCGAACGAGACCUUCGGGACUAGUGGCGCACGGGUGCGUAACGCGUGGGAACCUGCCCGUAGGUUCGGAAUAACUCCCCGACAGGGGUGCUAAUACCGGAUAAUGUCUGCGGACCCAAGAUUUGUCGCCUUUGGAUGGGCACGCGUUGGAUUAGCUAGUUGGUAGGGUAAAAGCCUACCAGGGCGACGGUCCAUAGCUGGUCUGAGAGGAUGGUCCGCCACACUGGGGCUGAGACGCGGCCCAGACUCCUACGGGAGGCAGCAGUGGGUGAUAUUGGACAAUGGGCUAAAGCCUGAACCAGUAAUGCCGCGUGAGUGAUGAAGGCCUUAGGGUUGUAAAGCUCUUUUACCCGGGAUGAUAAUGACAGUACCGGGAGAAUAAGCUCCGGCUAACUCCGUG
rnacentral:rRNA from 1 species